UUUAUUUGGAGAGUUUGAUCCUGGCUCAGGACGAACGCUGGCGGCGUGCUUAACACAUGCAAGUUGUGCGAGAAAGCU
rnacentral:rRNA from 1 species